GCUGGUGUAACUCAGAGGUAGAGGGCGACCCUUGUAAUGUCGAAGUCGGGAUUUCGAGAUUCCCCACCAGCUCCA
rnacentral:tRNA from 1 species